AGGGUUCGAUUCUGGCUCAGGAUGAACGCUGGCGGCGUGCUUAACACAUGCAAGUCGAACGGGAUCCAUCAGGCUUUGCUUGGUGGUGAGAGUGGCGAACGGGUGAGUAAUGCGUGACCGACCUGCCCCAUACACCGGAAUAGCUCCUGGAAACGGGUGGUAAUGCCGGAUGCUCCAGUUGAUCGCAUGGUCUUCUGGGAAAGCUUUCGCGGUAUGGGAUGGGGUCGCGUCCUAUCAGCUUGACGGCGGGGUAACGGCCCACCGUGGCUUCGACGGGUAGCCGGCCUGAGAGGGCGACCGGCCACAUUGGGACUGAGAUACGGCCCAGACUCCUACGGGAGGCAGCAGUGGGGAAUUUUGCGCAAUGGGGGAAACCCUGACGCAGCAACGCCGCGUGCGGGACGACGGCCUUCGGGUUGUAAACCGCUUUCAGCAGGGAAGAAAUUCGACGGUACCUGCAGAAGAAGCUCCGGCUAACUACGUGCCAGCAGCCGCGGUAAUACGUAGGGAGCGAGCGUUAUCCGGAUUCAUUGGGCGUAAAGAGCGCGUAGGCGGCCUCUCAAGCGGGAUCUCUAAUCCGAGGGCUCAACCCCCGGCCGGAUCCCGAACUGGGAGGCUCGAGUUCGGUAGAGGCAGGCGGAAUUCCCGGUGUAGCGGUGGAAUGCGCAGAUAUCGGGAAGAACACCGAUGGCGAAGGCAGCCUGCUGGGCCGCAACUGACGCUGAGGCGCGAAAGCUAGGGGAGCGAACAGGAUUAGAUACCCUGGUAGUCCUAGCCGUAAACGAUGGAUACUAGGUGUGGGGGGCUCCGCCCUCCGUGCCGCAGCCAACGCAUUAAGUAUCCCGCCUGGGGAGUACGGCCGCAAGGCUAAAACUCAAAGGAAUUGACGGGGGCCCGCACAAGCGGCGGAGCAUGCGGAUUAAUUCGAUGCAAC
rnacentral:rRNA from 1 species